rnacentral:lncRNA from 1 species
AUAUGGGCCACUAACUUCGAAUCAGCCUAUCAUCUCAGCCAGCUCUCGCAUUCUCUCCUGAAGGAAUCGGGAUGCGGCUCGAUCGUCUUCGUCUCCUCCGUCGCCGGUGUUGUUGCGAUACCUUACGGAACCCCUUACGCUGGAACUAAGGGUAAUUAGCUUUUAUUUUUCUUAAAAUUAUAUAUAUGCGGAGGUUCGAACUUUUGACCUUAUAAUUAUGGUAAUCAAACAUUAUGCUGCAAUUCAGGAGCAAUGAAUCAGCUAACGAAGAAUUUAGCGUGUGAGUGGGCGAAGGAUCACAUUCGGGCUAACUGUGUCGCGCCUUGGUUUACGAGAACUCCGCUAGUGAAUCCAGUGAGUUGUGGCUUUCUCCCUUUUUUUUUUUUUCUUUUUUUUCUUGGACUAGGAAUGCAAAUCGAUCCGAGCCGGUGGAGCUCCCAUCUCAAUUCGUUCUGAAUGAGACAAUCAGUGGACCCCAAUCCGCUCUAUCAGCGAAGAGAAUGUAGCUUUUUUUUUUUUUUUUGCUUUAAAUUUUUUAGAUGCCUAGAGGUCACACUAGGAAUGUAAAUGGAUGUGAGUCAGUAGUGCUCCCAUUCCGAUCAGCUCUGAAUAGGACAGUAAACAGAGGACCCCUAUCCACCCUAUCCGCUAAGAAAAUAGAGCAGUAAAGAGAGAAUCCCUUUUGUCCCUUGAUUUACUUUCAUCCAGCAAAAAUUUAUAAACCUCCAUUUUCUUUUAGAACAGCUUCGGAUGGAACAGUAAGUGAGGAUAGAAAAUAGGAUAAAUCAAAAUUUGUUCUAAAUUCGUCCUAACUCGCCAAGAAAAUAGGGCAGCCCCCCGAGUCCGUCAUGUUUGCAUUUCUAAUACAGACGCUUUUUAUAUAUUUGAAUCCGAAUUCAACACUGACUCAUGUAGCCAUGAGUUAGAAUGGUGUAAUUUGUUGUGUGGGAUUGGAGUUGAACCUUUUUCCUAAGAUUGUAAGAUUGAUCAAAACCAGUCCAAAGCGCGAAACCCAAUCGAUCAUUCUUAAACUCAAUUCCUAAUUUUAAAAUUAGCAUAGAAUUUUACUGUAAAAAAUAUUAACUUAUGGCACAAUGAAAUAAAGAAAAAAUGGUGUUCAUAAUAUUGUAGUUCAAAAUUUAUAGAAUGAGAUCAUUAAUUGGAGCCAUUUGAAAAGCCCGAAAGCGUAUAAAAUAAUAAAAAUAUUAUUCUUUAACAUCUAAAAAGAUUUUAGAGUACUCGGUUAUUUCAGAGAUCUAAUCAUAACUCUAUUUAUACUCAUCGCAGUUUCUCGACAAGCAGACACUGGCAAAGAUCCGAUCUCGCACGCCGCUCGGGCGAAUUGCGGAGGCGGAGGAGGUGUCGUCGGCGGUGGCAUUCCUUUGCCUCCCUGCAGCUUCUUACAUCACCGGGCAAACCGUCACGGUUGAUGGAGGCGUGACAAUAAAUGGGUUUUUCUUUAAUUAGAAUAGAAUUUGCCCGCUAAACUUAAUUAAUAUCCAUGAUUAAAUAAGAUAGGGAUUAAUGAGAGUUCCAAAGUUGUAUGUUGCUACUUCUAUGUAUGUCCUAUUUAUGCAGAUGUUCCGUAACGAAUGUGCUUAUUGCUAUUUUUUUAUUUUUUAUUUUUUUUUUUGUAUGUGUUUUUGACUUUUUAACAUUGCCGUUAGCCAAUUACCAAAACCAUUUUAUUGACAAUCCCUCAAUUUAUAUUUAAAAAAAUUAAAAUUGAAAGCUAAAAUAUACCCCCUUUUUUUCGGAUGUUUGCUUGUCUCCGUCUUUACAUUAAAUCCAUCAAUAUAAACUUUGUUUAAAAAACAAAUCUUUUUAUGAUAAAGCUUUUUUUAAGAGAUUUAGCAAACUUAUUGACCGCUCGUACUGAUUAGACGAGCUAAUAACAGUGUUGUAUUAUUUUUUUUAAAAAAAUAAAAAAUUUAAUUGAUAGAAACGAAAUCCAGUUUGGUACGGUCCGAUCUGGACUACCAGGGUGAGGGCUAUGCUGGGUCAUAGACAACGGUGUCAAUGAGUACGAUCUGCAUUACAUUCCUAAAUACAAUGCGCUCUCACCGUCUUGCCUUCGAACAAUCACCAUGGAGCUAUAAAGUUAACAAAUAGACAACGAACCGACCGUUCCUAAAGCAAAUGACAAAAAAUUUGGUGGUUGGUAUCUGAGAUCCAAGUUCGAAUCCUAAUUGAUUCACAUUUCCAGCUAAGUUUAUUUCUAAAUAAAAUAAACGAAGCAAGUAGCAUGCUAUCUAUCUCUCAAAAAAAAAAAAAAAAAACAAAUAGACAACGAGAUUUGUUUCUAAACUUGCAUCAAUAUUUCGAUAUGUAUUGGUGCGGUGGCCGACUAUUUUGAAUGAAAAAUAAUACAUUCAAUGUAAAUUUUAUUAUUAACAAAACAAAAAAGUUCAAAUUAUGAUUAAAUAUAACAUAUCUAUUUUGAUAAUAUCAAAAAUUAUUUUGGAUUAUAUCUAAUUGCAAAUGAAUGGUGGUGUUUGAGGAUCUGGUUGAGGAAUAGGUUGGUUCUAUGGGGUAUUGAUCGUACCUGUGGCGCACUCAAAUUAAGUCUCAAAUCAGAUGUGCUUAUCCACUGGAUUAAAGUUUAACACUCAUAUUAUUGACCAAAAGUGAUUGAUAUAAAAUUGCUGAGGGUAGUGUAAUUUUAAUCAAUUUGAGCAAACCUCAUACUAAAUUUCUCAAUAAUAUUAUUAGACGUAAUACUUUUAACUCUCAGUAUAUAAAAUUGUACUAUUUACCUUCCCAUCUCAGAUGUAAUAAUAGUUAAAUUUAAUGAAAUGUUCAAUAUAUCUAAGUAAAACAACUUAAAUAACAAAAUUAGAAUUAAAAGAGACCUCAAUAAAAAAGAGUGUAAAAUUGAGAACUCUAUUUUAAAUCUCCCAUACUUGAGGGAUCUCUCUACACUUUUAGCCUUAUAAAAGGAAAGCCAAGGUAAUGGAUACCAACACCAACCCCAAAAAAAAAAUCACACACAAAUGGAGGAAACAGAGAGUAAGAAAGGCAAAGAGAGGUGGUCUCUUCACGGAAUGACUGCUCUGGUCACCGGAGGUACCAAAGGAAUUGGGUAAUCUCUCUUCUCCGUCUUUUUUUAAUUUUCUCAUCUAUCAUUUAUUAACAGAAUCAUUUUUACUAUUUAUUUUAGCUAUGCGAUCAUGGAGGAGCUACUGAGCUUCGGGGCGGCGGUGCAUACGUGCGCACGAAACGAGGCGGAGCUGCGGUCGUGCCUGGAGCGGUGGAGGGGGAUGGGUUAUCCGCUAGUGACCGGAUCCGUCUGCGACGUGUCGUCGCGGGAGCAGCGCGAGCAGCUCAUGAACGAGGUGGCCUCCCUCUACGCCGGAAAACUCAACAUACUUGUGAGCAGAUAACUCUCUCCCUCACUCUUUUUUUAAGAAAUGCUUGAUUUACAACCAAAAAAAAAUUAUCUUAGAAUUUUUUUAGAAUUCACUAAUUUUUUAAAAAAUUUUUAGUAAACAAAUCGGUCGCAACUGGAUUUGUAGAUUAAAAGUAGACAUUGAAUAGAAUGAUUGUAGAAUUAUAGAUCUAGUAAUUUUGUUUUUUAAUCGAAGUGUGAGUCGCAUUCCAGUUCAGUUUUCACGCUUAAGUACCAAUCACAUGUAGUUGGUCAUAGCCUUUUAGGCUGAUCCAGAUUUUUGACUUCCAUGGUAUCAAAAGAGAGAAUAAAAGAAAAUAGGAAUGAGGUGGAAAAGUUUGUUCAUGGUUGAUAUGGACCAUACGUGUCCAAAUUUGUGUGGUAUAAAUUAUUUUCGAAUUUUAUUAUAAUAUAUUGUUUUUUUAUCGAAAUGUUUGAUUUCGGCCCGGUACAGCUCAGGCCCGUUGCGGGCCGUCGGGCCUUAAAAGGAGCAGCCCAGCAUGACCGGGCACAGACGCUACAGUAUCCACCGUGCCGUGUUGUAGUCCGGAUCGAGGCCGUGCCGGACAGAGCAGCCUAUUUUACAUCCCUAUCUAAAAGUUAAAGUUACCUAUAAAUAUAAUAUUUUAAACUUAUUUAACGCUUUAUAUUAAAUAAUACUAUAUAUAUUUAUUUUAUGUUUUAAUUUUUCAUCCUAGAUUUUGAACGGUUAAAAUUUACUCAUUUGUCUUAUUAAUUUUUUUAAUACUAAAAAUUGAAAUUUAUUUUUAAAUUCUUGAAUUAUAAAGUGUAAAGUAUACAUCCUAAAAUAAAGCCCAUCAACGAGCCAAAUACAAAUGAGCUGGGCAGGCUCGUGUUCACUCGUUUGAACGAGAUGAACACAAGUUGACUCGCGAAAAAUAAACUAGAUUGUCAAACCCAACUACUGAGUGAAAAGUUGAAAAAAAAAUAAAUAAUUAAAAUCUUAAUCUAAUAAUUAAAUUUUAUAAAAUAUAAAUCUCCUUAUAUUUGGGAGGCAUAUUUUUUAAAUAGUAGAAAUAUUUAAUAUAUAUAUAUAUAUAAAGAGAGAGAGAGAGAGAGUACGUCUUCUACACUUUCGAAAGCACGGAGCUCUCCGUAUUUAUAAGUUAUUUUUGAUGAUGGAACAUCCAAUUUGAUGAUCAGCUCCGUUAAGUAUAAUAUAUUCUAUUAGAACUAUUUAGAAACUAAAUUUCAUAAUUUUUCGACAUUAUUUAUCAAGUGAUUAAAGGGUCUCAAAAAUGACUAUUUUAAUAGUCGAUAUAGCACGUUUGUAAGUUCAACAGUGUAGAAGAAUCCAAAUUAUUUGAAACUUUAAUAAAAAAAAUUUAUUUAAUAUCAAGAGAAAAAACAACACUUUUAAUUUGAAGUUUGAAUCUUUUAUCAUUAUUUUUUUAUAAAAUUUUGAUUUUCAAUCGUUCAUUUUGAAGCUACACGUUUACUAGGCAAACAUAAUCAAAAAAUUAUAAAAUUUGAUUUUUAAAUAGUUAUAAUAAUGUAGAUCAGCCCUAACGGAGUGGAUUAUCAAAUCGGAUGUCCUAUAAUCGAAAAUAACUUUCAAGCACAGAGGCUUCCGUACCUUCGAAAGCGUAAGAACCUGAUUCUAUAUAAUUUUAAAAUAUUCAACUUAUAUUCAGCUUAUUUAUUAAACUAGUGACCAAUUUCAACCUUAUUUCAAGUUGAACACGAGUUGUCUCGUAAAUCCUAAUACGAAUGGCCAUUUCGUUUACGAUAUGUGUGAUAAUUAAUUUAUAUGCAGGUAAACAACGCCGGAACAAACAUACCAAAACCAACUACAGAAUGCAGUGAAGAAGUUGCUGCGCACAUAUGGGCCACUAACUUCGAAUCAGCCUAUCAUCUCAGCCAGCUCUCGCAUUCUCUCCUGAAGGAAUCGGGAUGCGGCUCGAUCGUCUUCGUCUCCUCCGUCGCCGGUGUUGUUGCGAUACCUUACGGAACCCCUUACGCUGGAACUAAGGGUAAUUAGCUUUUAUUUUUCUUAAAAUUAUAUAUAUGCGGAGGUUCGAACUUUUGACCUUAUAAUUAUGGUAAUCAAACAUUAUGCUGCAAUUCAGGAGCAAUGAAUCAGCUAACGAAGAAUUUAGCGUGUGAGUGGGCGAAGGAUCACAUUCGGGCUAACUGUGUCGCGCCUUGGUUUACGAGAACUCCGCUAGUGAAUCCAGUGAGUUGUGGCUUUCUCCCUUUUUUUUUUUUUAUUAAACUUUUUUAAGAUGCCUAGUGGUUAAUACACNCUUUAUUAGGCAUGAUCUAUAUUAUUAUAACUAUUUAAAGUUUGAAUCUUUUAUCAUUAUUUUUUAUAAAAUUUUUAUUUUUAAUCGUUCAUUUUGAAGCUACACGUUUACUAAGCAAACAUUAUAAAAAAAUUAUAAAAUUUGAUUUUUAAAUAGUUAUAAUAAUAUAGAUCAUGCCUAAUAAAGUCGAUUAUCAAAUCGGAUGUCCUAUAAUCGAAAAUAACAUACAAGCACGGAGACCUCCGUACCUUCAAAAGCGUAGAAGCCUAGUUCUAUAUAAUUUUAAAAUAUUCAACUUAUAUUCAGCUUAUUUAUUAAACUAGUGACCAAUUUCGAGCUUAUUUUGAGGCGAACACGAGCUGUCUCAUAAAUCCUAAUAUGAUUAGCCAUUUUCUUUAUGAUAUGUGUGAUAAUUAAUUUAUAUGCAGGUAAACAACGCGGGAACAAACAUACCUAAACCAACUACAGAAUACAGUGAAGAAGAUGUCGCGCACAUAUGGGCCACUAACUUUGAAUCAGCCUUUCAUCUUAGCCAGCUCUCGUAUCCUCUCCUGAAGGAAUCGGGACGCGGCUCGAUCGUCUUCGUCUCCUCUGUCGCCGGUGUUGUUGCGACACCUUAUGGAACCCCUUACUCUGGAACUAAGGGUAAUUAGUUUUUAUUUUUUUUAAAAUUAUAUAUGUACGGAUGUUCGAAUUUUUGACCUUAUAAUUAUGAUAAUCAAACAUUAUGCUGCAAUUCAGGAGCAAUGAUUCAGCUGACAAAGAAUUUAGCGUGUGAGUGGGCGAAGG